UGAGACAGCAAGAGCUAGGAUUGAGAAAGCUAGGGACAACUGCUUGACUUUUGAUCAUUAGCAACUCUCAGAGCUCUUCUUGGCGAGAACACGAAACAGUGGUGGAGAAGUGUAGAAAGUUUUGCAGAACUUACAUUCAUCUAUACCAUCAAGAAAGUAUACCCAUCAUCUACACUUGAUCAAAGUCAUUGAAGUAGAAGGC